AGUAAGUCAGACGGUUGCGGGCAUAAGCCGUAAGGCUGUGCAUGAGGAAAGUCCGGGCUCCAUAGAGCAAGGGUGCCGGGUAACACCCGGUGAAGGUGACUUCAAGGAUAGUGCAACAGAGAAUGAAUGCCUGAUUUUUCAGGCGAUUGUGGAAAUGUGCGGUAAGAGCGCACAGGGAUGAUGGUAACUGAAAUCCCGUGUAAACCCCAUCCGGAGCAACUCCCUAUAAUGGAAAUGUUAAGUCUGCUCGGCGUGUUUUCGGCAGGGAGGCUGAAGAUGCAUAGUAAUGUGCAUCGUAGAUAGAUAAUCGUCCGAUACAGAACCCGGCUUACAGACUUGCUCAU
rnacentral:RNase_P_RNA from 1 species